ensembl:lncRNA
CAUUGUUAAAUGCAUUUUAUUUAAUAAUUUUUUGUUCUCGUCAAACCAACAAAACCCAAACUAUUUACACUUUUUAGGUUAUUUUUCUGAAUGCAUUUGUUUUUAUGUUACUUAUCUCUAAAAUAUUCAAAACGUUUAAGCGAUGGAACUGAGCCGACCAUUUGGGUGAAAAAGAAAAUGGAUAUAAUUUGAUCAAAAUCGGUUUGUUAAUGAAUCAUACAUUUUUAUGGAAUUCAUACAUCAAAGGCAUAACAAUCUCACCCAGGGGCAUCACAGUGCCAAAACAAUAAUCACUUUGAACUUCAAUGAUUAACAGAAAGACAGAACAGACCGAACUGUUCACCUACAGGUGACCAACAAUUACUCCAACAAAGACAAUGCCAACUUUUAAAAAAUGAAACACCCAAAUAUAACUCAAGAGAAUAAUAAUUUAGAGACAGCUACAUAUUAACAGUUCACUGCAAACCAGUUUAUGGAGGGCAUUCUUAUCCCGCACGGAUGGAGUUGGAAGAUUGAAGUCAAAAUCCACAGUAUUCAUAAAAUACUUCAGUGACAUUUUAGAUAUUCCUCCAGUUGCAUUAACUAAUAUAUCAACUGAUCAAAACUAUCAUAUAUAUAUGGCACCCCCCCCUUAUUCAUAUAUAUAACAAACAUGUUCCACUCAAAGUAGAGGGUCUCAUCUCCCAAAGUUAAUAUUCAUUUGUUUGACCAACCGAAGCAGUUGGAAAACACUUACAAAACAAUUCAUCCAUUCAACCUGACUGACAGGGGAAGAAUUGAGCUUCUCCAUUGAAAACCUGGUUUCUAUUAAAGAGACAGACAAACCCAUGAUCAACUGCAUAGAUGGCAUACAUACAAGUAACAUACACAGCCAUUCAAUAACGUUAGUAAGAUGCUUCUAAUAUACGAGGACAUAAUCUGCACAAUGGUCAGUAAUCAAAGUGUCAAAUAGACAAUCCACAAAGAUAAUCUACUCAGAGGACCACCAAGAAGAGAUAGUGCCCUCUCAUUAUUGGAACAGUGAAGCAUUUUUUGUUCUUAUGGUAUAGACUCCAAAGGUUUGGAUUUGAAAUCGAACAAUUACUACGAGGUUAAACUAUACAUUCUCCGAUUUUAUUUGAGGGCAUUUGUGUACAUAUUGGUUUCACCAUUUACAAAUGACAACACUUUUUAUACAUCGUCCCAAAAGUAUUGGGACAAAUUCACUUGUGUGUAUUAAAGUAGUAAAAAGUGAAAUAUUUGGUCCCAUAUUCAUAGCACACACACAAUGGCUACAUCAAGCUUGUGACUAAACAAAUUAGUUGGAUGCAUUUGCUGUUUGUUUUGGUUGUGUUUCAAAUUACUUUGUGCCCAAAAGAAAUUCAUGGUAAAUGUGUUGGGUAAUCACUUUUUAUUGUUAAUAAGAAUGUUUACAAACACUUCAUGAAUGUGGAUGCUACCAUGAAUACUGAUAAUUCUGAAUGAAUUGUGAAUAAUGAGUGAGAAAGUUAAAAACGCACAAAUAUCAUACCCCCCAAAAACGCUAACCUCCUGUUAUUGUAUUGGUGAGCAUGUCUUGGGGGUAUGAUCUCACUCAUCAUUAUUCAUGACUCAUUCAGGAUUAUCUGUAAUAAUGGUAGCAUUCACAUUAAUGUAGAAGUGUUUAGAAACAUAAUUCUUAUAUUCCUAUUUACAAUAAAAGUGAUUCCAAAUGACAACACAUUUACCAUUCAUUUCUAUUGGGCACAAAUUAAUCUGAAACAACCAAAACAAACAGCAAAUGCAUCCAACAAGUUUGUAGUCACAUUGCUGAUGUAACCAUCGCGUGCUAUGAAUAUGGGUCCAAAUGUUUCACUUUUCACUACAUUAAUACACAUAGGUGAAUUUGUCCCAAUACAUUUGGUCCCUUGAAAUAGGGGUGACUAUGCAUAAAGAGUGUUGUCGUUUCUAAAUGGUGGAACCAAUAUGUACACAAAUACCCUCAAAUAAAAGCAGAGAACCUAUGCUUUAACCUCAUAAUUGUUUGAUUUAAAAUCAAAACUUGUGGAGUGCAGAGCCAAAAUAAGAAAUGCUUCAACAUCCCAAUAACUACAGAGGGCACUGUAUAUCCUUCAUUUUAAAUGGGUGGUCCUCAAUAGGAUAAAAACACUUAUUUCAAAUCAAGUCUCAAACUGUCAAAAAUCAUUGGGUCAAAAAAUAAAAAAGUAAUAUGUAGUGGGGCACUGUGUAGAACUGUAAAGGAACAUAUGGAUCUAUUUAACACACCCUUCCUGGUCAGCUCAGCUCCAUAAUACACAGACUUCAGAUUCCUCAGCCUGCAUCUUCAGCUACAUGUCUGGGCAUUUAAAACUGGAUAACAGAACAGUUAAUCUUGCUUUGAAAAACCAUCAGUCUUAAGCAUUGUCCUCAGGGAUUGCCUUCAGUUCUACUUUGUUGCCAUAGAUGCUGGACAGAAAUAAAGUAACAUACAGCAGUAUUGUUGGCCAAUAAAACACUGUCCCGGUAAGUAGAACAUUGACACCACCCCCCUUAUUCAAAUGCUAUAGUCCUUAUCAGGUUCUCCAACUGGCUUUCACUCUUAUUGUUAAUAUAUGUUUUCGAGUUUGCCACACAAAGGCGGAUCGCCACAGUUAAGGCAUGUUGAACAGAAAAAAGAAAACACUUGUAAUAUUAUUUACAUAGCAGUCAAAACUCAAGUGUAUGGUAUUGAGCCUUUCUGCUUUUGUGUGUGUUUCAAUGUGGUUUUCAAGAAUGUGGUUCUUGAAAAGAGAGUAUUUGAGAAUGCUGCAUGGACAUGCGUGUAAAGCUCUGUGUGUGUGUGUGGUCAGUUUCUCCACUGUUCCAGGUCCUCUGCUACUGCAGCUGAUGUGGUUCCUGCUCUUUCACCACCAGGGGUGCAGAGGAGGAGCGGAAGAAGAAAGGGCUGAGGAGCUUCUCCAUCUCCUCUCCAGCAGAGGGCAGCUAGGAACAGUGAGGACCCUGUGGAAUGAGAGCCAGUGAGAAUGAUGGGAGACAGGGAGAGAGGGAGCGAGAGCAAGAGACGGAGAGGAAUGAAGAUUUCCAAAUGAAACAAUACUGAAAACAGAAUUUUCAUAAAGACAGU